rnacentral:rRNA from 1 species
CAGUAGCCACGGUAAUACAGAGGGUGCGAGCGUUAAUCGGAUUUACUGGGCGUAAAGCGUGCGUAGGCGGCUUCUUAAGUCGGAUGUGAAAUCCCUGAGCUUAACUUAGGAAUUGCAUUCGAUACUGGGAAGCUAGAGUAUGGGAGAGGAUGGUAGAAUUCCAGGUGUAGCGGUGAAAUGCGUAGAGAUCUGGAGGAAUACCGAUGGCGAAGGCAGCCAUCUGGCCUAAUACUGACGCUGAGGUACGAAAGCAUGGGGAGCAAACAGGAUUAGAUACCCGUGUAGUCCAUGUCUCUUAUAC